rnacentral:rRNA from 1 species
GACGAACGCUGGCGGCGUGCUUAACACAUGCAAGUCGAACGGAAAGGCCCUGCUUUUGUGGGGCGCUCGAGUGGCGCACGGGUGGGUAACACGUGAGUAACCUGCCCUUGACUUUGGGAUAACUUCAGGAAACUGGGGCUAAUACCGGAUAGGAGCUCCUGCUCCAUGGUGGGGGUUGGAAAGUUUCGGCGGUUGGGGCUGGACUCGCGGCUUAUCGGCUUGUUGGUGGGGUAGUGGCUUACCAAGGGUUCGACGGAUAGCCGGCCUGAGGGGGGGACCGGCCACAUGGGGACUGAGGGAGGGCCCAGACUCCUACGGGAGGCAGCAGGGGGAAGUAUGGCACAGUGGGCGGAAGCGUGAUGCAGCAACGCCGCGUGCGUGAUGACGGCCUUCGGGUUGUAAACCGCUGUCGACUGUGACGAAGCGUGAGUGACGGUAAUGGGUAAAGAAGCACCGGCUAACUACGUG